GGAUGAUUGGCAGAGUAGACGAAUGCGGCGGCUUGCUAGGCCGUAAACCGUAAAAGGUUCGCAAGUGCAAAUCUUGCAUCAUCCG
rnacentral:tRNA from 8 species